rnacentral:lncRNA from 10 species
CUUAAUCCCUGGGGCAGAGACCAGAGAAGUCCCUGCUGCACUCCAGGGUCUGAGAAGAGACUUCGACUUGGUGGCAUCACAGGGGAAGAAGGAAGAAGGGACUACAGGAGAACCAAGGGCAUAUGGGCAUGACCUGAAGAUUCCUGGUGUUCAGGUGAAGAUGUAAGGAAGUCCACGAAGUAGAUACAGAUGAAUAAGAUUAGAUAAAUUACAGGAUCUAGGAGAAGUGGACUGCCGGGAAGGAGAGAUUGGAUUGAGAAAGACACCCUGGCAGGGCAAGUCCUCAGAAAUCCAAGAAGAUGUACUUUUGUUCCCCAAGUCCAGGAGCUUGUUGACUGGUUGGGCCUGAUCUGCUGGGGCUACUGGAGAGGAAGGCAGGGAGGAGCCACGUGUCAGCAGGAGAGAUACAGGGUUGGCAUCAUUAGCUCCUGAGUGGAAAAUGGACCAUGACAAGGAAUGAGAGCAGAAGGAUGAGGAGUUUGGGGGCUGUUCCUGGGAGCUGCUGGUACCAGGAUACCGCAUAAUUCCCCAUGUCGGAGCUGCUUCCAGAGCAGGAGAUGGUGACCUUCUGUCCUGGGGCCGCAGACACUGAAGGCGGCUGCGU